CUUUCUUCGGAUGGAAGCUUAUAAACUUAGUGGCGGACGGUGUGAGUAACGCGUGGGUAACCUGCCUUAUACAGGGGGAUAACAGCCGGAAACGGUUGCUAAUACCGCAUAAGCAUACAGUGCCGCAUGGUACCGUGUGAAAAGAUUUUCGUGUAUAGAAUGGACCCGCGUCUGAUUAGCUAGUUGGUGAGGUAAUGGCCAGCACCAAGGCGACGAUCAGUAGCCGGCUUGAGAGAGUGACCGGCCACAUUCUGAGACACGGCCUAUACUCCUACGGGAGGCAGCAGUGGGGAAUAUUGCCAAUGGGGGAACCCCUGAAAAGGUGCAGCGACGCCCCGUGAGUGAAGAAGUAUUUUGGGAUUUAAAGCUCUAUCAGCAGGGACGAUAAUGACGGUACCUGACUAAGAAGCCCCGGCUAACUACGUGCCAGCAGCCGCGGUAACUACGUAGGGA
rnacentral:rRNA from 1 species